AUUCAAAUAGUGCGUAGGAGAGAAAUAAUAAAAUCAACACAUUUGUUUACAUCCACUCCAGUUUUUCUCAUAUACAUAGAAUGGCUCCAUUUUAUGCCAAACUUGGUCCUGACCGUCAAUGGAUUAGGGUAGUGGGACAGUUGUUGCAGAAAAACGAGGUACGACCGCACCUAAUUUAUCACCAAUUUCGAGUAGGAAGGUCGAAGGGUCUUUUGGAUCAUUAUCCCGAACUUGUUAUCCUGAAAGAUGAAUUAAUUGCCCAGGGCAUAGCGGAGGAAAGGGAUCUUGAUCCCAUAGGCCUCUCUGAUCUGAGAGAAAGUGCCCGACAGCGUCGCUCAUCAACCGUCCAUCUUGAUCGCUCUCCUGCAAUCCCCUCGACCUCGUCUCCACCACCACUACGACGACUAUGUCAAUCACGCGAUCCUCCCCCUUUCCCAAAUUUCACUGAUGACCCCACCCUUUAUCUACCCAUAAAUUCAGGGGUUUUGAACAACAUGCGGGAAAUGUGCCGACGAUGUACAUGUCAAACAUGCAUACACCUCAAAUCUACUAAUACUUUGCCCUAGGCACUUAUGAUAUGUUCAUGAUUUUUUUUCCAAUUAAAUUACUAUAUGGUAUAAUAAUAAUCUUUUUGAUGCUGCUGAAA